AAUGCCAAUGGGCUUUCCCUAGCUGAAAUUAGCUGUUGACCUUAGAGUACCAUAAACUACAUCUGCAAAAAGCCCCUGCCGGUUUUCCAGGUGGGCUUGAGGAAGCCUCUGAGUGGCUUUUUGUGAGUUCAUGUCCGGAGGAGGAGUGGUGGAGAUGGUGUGAAUGUUGUGUGUUUUGCUGCAGGAGCUGCCGGUCGCUUGAAUGAAUGGACUUCCUGAUUCAGAGGAAAAGAGCUGGGUUCCUGUUGCUAUUCAACCAAGCAGACACUCUGUUUGGACAACCAUCCAACAAGAAGAGAGCCACCCGUGUGAGGCCAGAAGGAGCUUUUCUUAAUUUGAAGCGUUCAAAAAUGCUGGAAACUCACAGCCACUUUCACUUCAGUGUUGGGAUAGUGGAGCUGACAAGUUUUAUGCAUUGUGGUCUACAAGUUGAGAAAUGUGACUGGUGAAGGUCAGUCUAUCCAACUAUACCCACAGGGAUUAACAUAAAUGGAAACCUACAGCAGACUUCAGCUUCUGAUGUAUAUUAAAGCAGUCAUCAUCUCAAUGCAAUUCAAAAAGUAGCCCUUCUGACACUGUCCUAUUAUGAAGCUUUUUUUUAAAACAUCCCUCUUGAAGAGAGCCAUUGCCCUGCACUCAGAGGCCAGGGGGAAUCCCAGAGCAAAAAAAAAAAAGGUAAGACAUCUUGGCUCAUAUUCCACUAACCAACUUUCUGUAGGUCUGUACUAUGUGUGCAAAGCCAAAUCCUGAUCCAAGAAGACCACAUGUUACAGAGUUCUUCAUAUAAAUACUACUUUGAAAUAUCUCUUCUUUGUUUCAUGAUUUUGAUACUUAAACUAAGUAAUCAGGAGAGAUUGGCUUCAAAAUCACAGCACCAUCUAGUGCUGCAUGGAAGCAGGGGUGGUAUAAGGUAGGUACUGUCUCCUGUGUAUUGAGGGAAGAACUGUGAUCAUGGAAUUGCUGAGGCUGGACAAAACCUCUCAAGCUCUUCUCCUCUCCAAAAAAGCCUCUGAUGAUGAGAUGGCCAAAGUUGAAGUGGUAGACAACUGCUUCCAUCCUAAAUUUCAGAUAGGCAGAAUUAUUUACCAUUGCCAUGGCAGUCUUAACACCCUACAUGAAAUUAUUUAAAGGGCUGUUCCCACCAUUCCCCAGUUACAGCUAUCAUACUGUAAUUAACAUCUCAGAAGCUAAUAAGAUUUUAAAGACACACACAGUAGCU